rnacentral:RNase_P_RNA from 1 species
AAGGAUGAACGGGUGGCCGCGGGAGAUUUACCCGAGGAAAGUCCGGGCAUCGAAGGGCAGGAUGGUCCCUAACGGGGACUGGGGGUGACCCCAAGGAAAGUGCCACAGAAAGCAUACCGCCCCUCCCUUAAGGAGGAGCAAGGGUGAAAAGGUGAGGUAAGAGCUCACCAGUCUCGUGGCGACACGAGAGCUUGGCAAACCCCAUCCGAUGCAAGGCCAAACAGGGGGCAGCCAAGGGCUGCGGGAUGGCCCGUCCUCAACCCGGGUAGGCCGCAAGAGGUCCAGGCUCUGGAUCCUUAGAUGAAUGGCCACCACCCCCUGAGGGGUACAGAACCCGGCUUAUAGUUUGUCCUUCCUU